rnacentral:rRNA from 1 species
GGAUCAGCAAGUUGGUCGUGCCUCUGGUACGUACUGGCUUUACUGGUUCCUCCUUCUUGAAGAACUGUAAUGUCAUUAAUUUGGUGUUGCAGGGAAACAGGACUGUUACUUUGAAAAAAUUAGAGUGUUUAAAGCAAGCUAACGCUUGAAUACAUUAGCAUGGAAUAAUGAAAUAGGACGUUUGAUCCUAUUUUGUUGGUUUCUAGGAUUGACGUAAUGAUUAAUAGGGAUAGUUGGGGGCAUUAGUAUUCAAUUGUCAGAGGUGAAAUUCUUGGAUUUAUUGAAGACUAACUACUGCGAAAGCAUUUGCCAAGGAUGUUUUCAUUAAUCAAGAACGAAAGUUAGGGGAUCGAAGACGAUCAGAUACCGUCGUAGUCUUAACCAUAAACUAUGCCGACUAGGGAUCGGAUGAUGUUAAUUUUUUAAUGACUCAUUCGGCGCCUUACGGGAAACCAAAGUGUUUGGGUUCCGGGGGGAGUAUGGUCGCAAGGCUGAAACUUAAAGGAAUUGACGGAAGGGCACCACCAGGGGUGGAGCCUGCGGCUUAAUUUGACUCAACACGGGGAAACUCACCAGGUCCAGACAUAGUAAGGAUUGACAGAUUGAGAGC